rnacentral:lncRNA from 1 species
AAACCCAUCAAAGAAACUCCUGUAUUAUAAGUGACAUAUGGUUAUGCAAAUGUACACUGGUGAGCAAAAUGCCAUGAAUCUCCACUAUGGCAAAGACAAAGGAAAAUUUGUUCAAUGCAGGCAUAUCACCAAGGUUCAAGAAGCACUAUAUUGGCAUACUACCUGCACUUUCGACAAAGUAAAUCAUAUCAGAGAGAACCAUCACAACCAAUCCAUGUGGAGAAACUCCGUGCCUCUCAUGGUCAAAAUGGAAAAACAUUGGAUCUAACACUCCACGCACUAUACUGCUACUCUCUUUUGCUAGGUCAGCCAUCCUAACUG